rnacentral:rRNA from 1 species
GGAAUGUGGCAUCUUCGGAUGUGUUAUAGCCUUCGUUCGUAUACAAGCGGUUGGGACUGAGGAACUCAGCACGCCGAAAGGCCGGGUUUUUAACCACGUACGUGCUUAGGAUGCUGGCAUAAUGGCUUUAAUCGA